rnacentral:lncRNA from 1 species
AGUCUCCAUAAUCCUGUGAGCCGAUUCCUCAAAUACCUGCAUAAAUAUGUAUAUAAUGCACAUGUACCCCAUACACGCACACACGCAAUCUCUCUUGUUUCUGUUUCUCUGGAGAACCUCAUUAAUACGAACCCCAUUCGCAUGGGGAGAAACUGACACCUAGAAAAGGAGUCCCCAGACCCAGGUGUCCUGACCCGCUUGCCAGUUGGACUUGCUUCCCUGGCCGUUUAUUCCAGAGUGAACUCAGAACAACAGGUGUUCUGGCCUCUGGUCCAAUACUUAUGAAGGGGUCCCAAGUGAGCCAAAUCUUGGCACCUGAAUUUCCUUCUCUUCAACAUGAAGGUGAAAAUCUUUCCUGCCUCAGAGAUGUAGCCAGGACUGGUCACAGGGCUCAUCCCUGAAAUGACCUUCGGUCACACGUAGGAACUCAAAGAAAUGUUAGCUUUCAUUGGCGUUCCCAUAGUGGCUCAGCAGUAAUGAACCUGAUUAGUAUCCAUGAAGAUAUGGGUUCAAUCCCCAGCCUCGCUCAGUGAGCUAAGGAUCCGGCAUUGCCAUGAGCUGUGGUGUUACAGAUGCGGCUCGGAUCCCGCGUGGCUGUGGCUGUGGUGUAGGCCAGCAGCUGCAUCUCCCAAUUUGACCCCCAGCCUGGAAACUUUCAUAUGCCAUGGGUGUGGCCCUAAAAAGAAAAAAACAAGAACUUCAAAAAUACUACCAGGAACCAUGUUUUUAAUCUGUCGGACCUUCUAACCCACCAGUACAACUAGUCUCACUGCCCCCCACCCCCCCCCCCACCAAAUCCAUACAAUUUCCUGAAAGUUUCAAGGCUGGCGAUUCCCUUGCUCAGAGCAUCAAUGGUCAGCCAUGAAAACCCAUGGAGCAUCAGUGGUCAUCCCAACUCUUCCACCCACGUCAGUGGCCUGGAACCUGAUCAUAUGAUUUGCUAGCAAGGACCAUACAGUAGGAGAGGCUGGGCAAAAGCAUCUGUUUAAUCCCUGCUCUCCAAGGGGUUGUUCUUCUACUCCAGCCCCUUCAGUCCAAGAAUAAAUCACAAGCUGCCAUAAUCAGCUUCCGUUCAUCAAGAGACUCAGCCGGCAACAGGUGCCAGCUCCAAGUCCAGCCUCUCUGCUGUCCUGCAGUCUCUCACAUCUGGGAAUCAGCAGGUCAGUUUGAAUUGUUCUUGAGGUUGUUCCUGGUAGCAAACCACCUCCCUCCCACCCUCGGAGUCCAAACGUCUUUAGAUUUGCCUCCAUUAAAGUCCCAAAGGGGGGUCGUGGCUCAGCAAUAACGAACCCGACUAAUACCCAUGAGGAUGGCAGGUUCAAUCCCUGGCCUCGCUCAGUGGGUUAAGCAUCUGGCGUUGCUGUGGCUGUGGUAUAGGCUGGCAGCUGAAGCUCAGAUUCAACCCCUAGCCUGGGAAUUUCCAUAUGCUGCAGGUACAGCCCU